rnacentral:rRNA from 1 species
GCCCCCGCCCCUACGGGAGGCAGCAGUGGGGAAUAUUGCGCAAUGGGCGAAAGCCUGACGCAGCAACGCCGCGUGAGUGAUGAAGGUCUUCGGAUCGUAAAGCACUGUUGCCCGGGACGAACGGCGGAUUAAUCCGCCGUGACGGUACCGGGUGAGGAAGCACCGGCUAACUCCGUGCCAGCAGCCGCGGUAAUACGGAGGGUGCGAGCGUUGUCCGUAAUCACUGGGCGUAAAGGGCGCGUAGGCGGCUCGGUAAGCGUGUGGUGA